rnacentral:rRNA from 1 species
AGUGAUCCGGUGGUUCUGAAUGGAAGGGCCAUCGCUCAACGGAUAAAAGGUACUCCGGGGAUAACAGGCUGAUACCGCCCAAGAGUUCAUAUCGACGGCGGUGUUUGGCACCUCGAUGUCGGCUCAUCACAUCCUGGGGCUGAAGUAGGUCCCAAGGGUAUGGCUGUUCGCCAUUUAAAGUGGUACGCGAGCUGGGUUUAGAACGUCGUGAGACAGUUCGGUCCCUAUCUGCCGUGGGCGCUGGAGAACUGAGGGGGGCUGCUCCUAGUACGAGAGGACCGGAGUGGACGCAUCACUGGUGUUCGGGUUGUCAUGCCAAUGGCACUGCCCGGUAGCUAAAUGCGGAAGAGAUAAGUGCUGAAAGCAUCUAAGCACGAAACUUGCCCCGAGAUGAGUUCUCCCUGACCCUUUAAGGGUCCUGAAGGAACGUUGAAGACGACGACGUUGAUA